UAGGGAAUAUUGCGCAAUGGGGGAAACCCUGACGCAGCGACGCCGCGUGAGUGAUGAAGGCCUUCGGGUCGUAAAGCUCUGUUGCAGGGGAAUAAAAAAAUGAAUGUACCCUGCGAGGAAGGAUCGGCUAACUUCGUGCCAGCAGCCGCGGUAAGACGAGGGAUCCUAGCGUUGUUCGGAAUCAUUGGGCGUAAAGCGGGUGUAGGUGGCUUGGUAAGUCGGGUGUGAAAGCCCAGGGCUCAACCCUGGAAGUGCAUUCGAUACUGCUGAGCUUGAGUGUUGGAGAGGUCAUCGGAAUACCUGGUGUAGUGGUGAAAUACGUAGAUAUCAGGUGGAACACCGGAGGCGAAGGCGGGUGACUGGCCAAACACUGACACUGAGACCCGAAAGUGUGGGGAUCAAACAG
rnacentral:rRNA from 1 species